rnacentral:lncRNA from 1 species
CUCUAGUUAGUCCACACAUCCAGCGCAACAUCCGCAUUUCUGCCACCUUUAUUUUUUGGAUGUGGGAGUUCUUAACUGGCCAACACUCCGCUCCAUACAGCAAGGCCGGACGGACUACCACCCUGUAGAAUUUGCCUUUAAGCUUGGGCGGCACCUUCUUAUCACACAGCACCCCCGAUGCGAGUUUCCACUUCAUCCAUCCCGCCCCAAUACGGUGCGAGACAUCCUCGUCAAUCUCACCGUUACUCUGGAUCACGG